rnacentral:lncRNA from 1 species
GAGUUUUCAGACUAUAAAAGUGCUCAUACAAUUUUAAUUUCUACACACUAACAAUGAAAAAUAUGGCUAAAACUCUCAUGUUUUUUCACAUUAUGUUUAUUUUAAUUUUCACAUUUAUCAUUCUCAUCGAAGGCCUUCGUCCACUAAGUAAGACGAUUCUAUUUUUUUUUCUUCAAUUUAUUUACUUUAUAUGUUUUAUUGACAAGCCAAGUCAAGUCUAACAUGGAAGACUUUAUAAUGCGAAAGUUGUCAAUAUUAUUAUAGAUCAUCCAUCAAAACUAAUUGUUUAUGAGUUUUUAUUUAAUAUCGUUAAUCUUGAUUAGUAUUAAUAACAUAUCAAAUAAAUUUAUUUUUUUCAAAAAAAAAAUUAAUGAUGAUCUAUAUGAUAUAAAUUUUCAAUCUAACGAUGAAUUUUGUAAAAUUCAUAUUCGUUAUAAUUAAUAAUAUAAACAAUUUGUGCACCAUAAAAAAUUUGGUGAAUUCCUUAAAAAAAAAUUGGUGAAAUCUUUCAUGAUAGACCGAGCGUUAUUAACAUUAAUUUUUUUCUUAUUUGAUCGACAUCACAGGAAUUAAUGGACAAAAUCCUCCGUGUUUAAAGGACGAAGAUUGUCCUACUUAUUUGUGUCUCUAUCCUUGGACUCCAAGGUGUGUAAAGGAUCAUUGUCGAUGUGGAUAAUGAUGAUUCCAUCCUUGAAAAUUAUAAAAAUGGCCAUUAGUACUACUACUAUUAAUAAAUUUUCCCUUCAGCACCUUUUUAUCAAGUUCAAAAAUAAAGUUGUGGUAAUUCUAUGAGUAUAAUCGUAUUUGUAAUUAAUAUACGUUGGUACGUUGGCUUUUUACAUAGGUGUUUCGCUUAUAUAAAACGUCUUUAUUUUGUAAUUUUGCUUUUUUAAUCUCUAUUUAUUUUGUGCAGAAAUCGAUUAUUAAUAAUAUAAUAUGUUGGUGCGUUUUUGUGCAGAGAUCGAUUAUUAAUAAUAUAAUAUGUUGGCUUUUUUCAUAGAUGUUCUGCUUAUAUAAGACGCCUUUAUUUUGUAAUUUUGCUUUUUUAGUCUCUAUUUAUUUUGUGCAGAGAUCGAUUAUUAAUGAUAUAAUAUGUUGAUGCCUUUUGUUGAAUAUAUAUUUUAUUAGCCAUUGUUGUUUUGCACCACAUUUUUAUCCCUUCAUCAUGGUUUUAUUUUAAAGGUUUUUUUAUAAAUUUUUUAACGAGGUAGUUGGUGUGAAAUCUCUUGAUUGUUAUAUUGGGUAAUUAUCUAGUCCCCCCGAACGUCUGUUCCAUCAUUUUAUUUUAAUAAGUUUAUUAGGUGCUGCAUAUAAGCUAAUUAAAUAAGUUUCUUACCAAACACGUCUAUUUAUAUCAAGCAAGCUUAAUUAUAAACUAGUCCAAUUAAUUUAUUGGACUUACCAAACACAUCCUAGUAUUUUUCUCACCCUUUUCUUUCUUCAAUGGUGCUUCAGAGUAACUAAUAGGAGCAACAUUCUGUAACCUAAAAACAAGGUUGUCAGAACUGGACCGGUCAUCGAACCGGCGAGCUCACCGGUUCAAGGUUCAAUUGGUCGGACCGGGUUCAAUCGGGAUCGAACCGUUUUUAAUUAAAUAUAUAUUUUAAUUAAUAUAUAAAUAAAAAUAUAUGAAUAAUUGCUCAAUAUUUAAUAAUUUCACACAUUAAAAAGAUAAAAUAUCACAAGUCAAAAUAAAAUAAAAUAAAAUUUAUAAUUCAAACCAAAUGAAAAACAGAUGAAAAACAAAAACAAUUCUGAUUCCUACGACGUCGUUGUUUUGUUUCAG